rnacentral:rRNA from 1 species
CAGCCGCCGCGGUAAUACGAAGGGUGCAAGCGUUAAUCGGAAUUACUGGGCGUAAAGCGUGCGUAGGCGGUGAGUUAAGUCUGCUGUGAAAUCCACGGGCUCAACCUGGGAAUGGCAGUGGAUACUGGCUCGCUAGAGUGUGUCAGAGGAUGGUGGAAUUCCCGGUGUAGCGGUGAAAUGCGUAGAUAUCGGAAGGAACAUCUGUGGCGAAGGCGACUAUCUGGGCCAACACUGACACUGAGGCACGAAAGCGUGGGGAGCAAACAGGAUUAGAUACCCCUGUAGUCCCUGUCUCUUAUAC